rnacentral:sRNA from 1 species
GUAACAGAUCUGCUGAAGCACAGAAACUUGCUAAUGGGAUCAACAUCAUUGUGGCCACACCAGGCCGUCUGCUGGACCAUAUGCAGAAUACCCCAGGAUUUAUGUAUAAAAACCUGCAGUGUCUGGUUAUUGAUGAAGCUGAUCGUAUCUUGGAUGUGGGGUUUGAAGAGGAAUUAAAGCAAAUUAUUAAACUUUUGCCAAGUAAGUAGGUAGCAUCUGCAUUUGGUUUGCAAAGUAUCUGUUGGACGUAGAUAAGAGUUGUUCCUAUAGAAAAACUGUACUAAUGCCAGAACUUUACCAUAGCCAAGUGAGGUAGUUGUGCCAAUUAACCCGAAAGGUAAUUUGGAAUACAAGCAUCAAAUGUAUUAUAACUUGAUAUAAUAGUUUUGCUGUUUUAGAAGUUAUAAUGCACGUUAAGCAGUCUUCACAUAGGUCCUAUCCUCCACCUCUUGCCCAUUCUUACCUCAUCUAACAUCCCCCAAGAAGCCGCAGAUUUGUUGCCUUACUUGUACAUAUCUUGGUUAUAGUACUUGCAACAUUAUGAACUGGUUAUAACUAAGACCAUGGUUUCCUUCAUUAUAUAAUUUAUUUUUAAAAGCUUUGUCAAAGUAUAAUUGACAUAAUUAUAUGUACCCAUUUAUAAUGUACAAUUUGAUGUUCUUUGAUUUGUUUACCACUGUGACAUCAUCACUGCAAUCAAGAAAAUGAACAUGUCCAUCACACUCAAAG